rnacentral:rRNA from 1 species
AUUGAACGCUGGCGGCAUGCCUUACACAUGCAAGUCGAACGGCAGCACGGGAGCAAUCCUGGUGGCGAGUGGCGAACGGGUGAGUAAAGUAUCGGAACGUACCUUUCAGUGGGGGGAUAACGUAGCGAAAGUUACGCUAAUACCGCAUAUUCUGUGAGCAGGAAAGCAGGGGAUCGCAAGACCUUGCGCUGAUUGAGCGGCCGAUAUCAGAUUAGCUAGUUGGUGAGGUAAAGGCUCACCAAGGCGACGAUCUGUAGCGGGUCUGAGAGGAUGAUCCGCCACACUGGAACUGAGACACGGUCCAGACUCCUACGGGAGGCAGCAGUGGGGAAUUUUGGACAAUGGGCGCAAGCCUGAUCCAGCCAUGCCGCGUGAGUGAAGAAGGCCUCGGUUGU